UGAAUCUGGUGAUGGAUGUGAAAACUGCCUCCUUGAAUGGAUAUCUUAAGGAAGAUAUCUAUAUGGGGCAGCUUUUUGGAUUUCACUUUUAAUGAUGGAGAUCACAAAAUAUGCUAGCUGCAAUAGACUGAAAUAAAUAUCUCAGAGUUAGAAUAUUCGAUAUGAUCAAAUUGUUUGAUUUCAUCAAGAAUGAAAGGGCCAUGCAUUUAUAAGAGGGUC
rnacentral:lncRNA from 1 species